GAUGAACGCUGGCGGCGUGCCUAAUACAUGCAAGUCGAGCGAACAGACGAGGAGCUUGCUCCUCUGACGUUAGCGGCGGACGGGUGAGUAACACGUGGAUAACCUACCUAUAAGACUGGGAUAACUUCGGGAAACCGGAGCUAAUACCGGAUAAUAUAUUGAACCGCAUGGUUCAAUAGUGAAAGACGGUUUUGCUGUCACUUAUAGAUGGAUCCGCGCCGCAUUAGCUAGUUGGUAAGGUAACGGCUUACCAAGGCAACGAUGCGUAGCCGACCUGAGAGGGUGAUCGGCCACACUGGAACUGAGACACGGUCCAGACUCCUACGGGAGGCAGCAGUAGGGAAUAUUCCGCAAUGGGCGAAAGCCUGACGGAGCAACGCCGCGUGAGUGAUGAAGGUCUUCGGGUCGUAAAACUCUGUUAUUAGGGAAGAACAAAUGUGUAAUUAACUAUGCACGUCUUGACGGUACCUAAUCAGAAAGCCACGGCUAACUACGUG
rnacentral:rRNA from 1 species